ACGUCUUUAGUUCAGUUGGUAGAACGCAAGUUUCCAAAACUUGAUGUCGCGGGUUCAAGUCCUGCAAGACGUG
rnacentral:tRNA from 1 species